rnacentral:tRNA from 1 species
CGGGGCGUGGCGCAGCCCGGUAGCGCGCCUGCUUUGGGAGCAGUAGGUCGCCGGUUCGAAUCCGGCCGCCCCGA